GCCUACGGGACGCAGCAGUGGGGAAUAUUGGGCAAUGGGGGAAACCCUGACCCAGCAACGCCGCGUGAAGGAUGAAGGCCUUCGGGUUGUAAACUUCUUUUACCAGGGACGAAGAACGUGACGGUACCUGGAGAAAAAGCCACGGCUAACUACGUGCCAGCAGCCGCGGUAAUACGUAGGUGGCAAGCGUUAUCCGGAUUUAUUGGGUGUAAAGGGCGUGUAGGCGGGAGCGCAAGUCAGAUGUGAAAACUCAGGGCUCAACCCUGAGCCUGCAUUUGAAACUGUGUUUCUUGAGUGCUGGAGAG
rnacentral:rRNA from 1 species